AAUAUUGGACAAUGGGCGAAAGCCUGAUCCAGCAAUGCCGCGUGAGUGAUGAAGGCCUUAGGGUUGUAAAGCUCUUUUACCUGGGAUGAUAAUGACAGUACCGGGAGAAUAAGCCCCGGCUAACUCCGUGCCAGCAGCCGCGGUAAUACGGAGGGGGCUAGCGUUGUUCGGAAUUACUGGGCGUAAAGCGCGCGUAGGCGGCUUUGCAAGUCAGGGGUGAAAGCCCGAGGCUCAACCUCGGAACUGCCUUUGAGACUGCAAGGCUCGAGACCGGGAGAGGAGAGUGGAAUUCCCAGUGUAGAGGUGAAAUUCGUAGAUAUUGGGAAGAACACCAGUGGCGAAGGCGGCUCUCUGGCCCGGACCUGACGCUGAGGCGCGAAAGCGUGGGGAGCAAAC
rnacentral:rRNA from 1 species